UCGAAUAUGAGUUGAUCUUGCCUCCUCUAUGUUGUUAAGAUCUAUGUGAUCAGAUACCACAGAGCAAGGCCGCCUUAGGUCUUGAGCUCGACGGGGCAACGAUAGAAUAAGGUAUACAACGAGCCACUCUGUUGGUAAUGGCGCCUGAGGAGGUUUCCCAUGGGAUAUUGUGUUAUAAGAAAGCCCUGCAGGCAAAUGUGUCGAACAUGGUACACUAAUGUGUCGAGGUUCAUAAAUAUAAAGAUAAGAUGAAAUGCAUUUAUACAUGUUGAAUUACUUAUGUGUGUUAAAUUCUCUUCAGUUACUUUACUUACUGAGCGACGUAGCUUAUAGUUUUCUUGUGUUGUAGGUAAAGGUAAAGAUAUAAAGUAGAAGUGGGACCGAGCUGAAGCAGCA
rnacentral:lncRNA from 1 species